rnacentral:rRNA from 1 species
CCUACGGGGGGCAGCAGUGGGGAAUAUUGGACAAUGGGCGAAAGCCUGAUCCAGCCAUGCCGCGUGUGUGAAGAAGGCCUUCGGGUUGUAAAGCACUUUCAGUGGGGAAGAAAGCCUUGGGGCUAAUACCCUCGAGGAAGGACAUCACCUACAGAAGAAGCACCGGCUAACUCCGUGCCAGCAGCCGCGGUAAUACGGAGGGUGCGAGCGUUAAUCGGAAUUACUGGGCGUAAAGCGCGCGUAGGCGGUCUGAUAAGCCGGUUGUGAAAGCCCCGGGCUCAACCUGGGAACGGCAUCCGGAACUGUCAGGCUAGAGUGCAGGAGAGGAAGGUAGAAUUCCCGGUGUAGCGGUGAAAUGCGUAGAGAUCGGGAGGAAUACCAGUGGCGAAGGCGGCCUUCUGGACUGACACUGACGCUGAGGUGCGAAAGCGUGGGUAGCAAACAGGAUUAGAUACCCUAGUAGUC